rnacentral:rRNA from 1 species
GAUGAACGCUAGCGGCAGGCCUAAUACAUGCAAGUCGAGGGGCAGCGGGUGUAGCAAUACAUGCCGGCGACCGGCGCACGGGUGCGUAACGCGUAUGCAACUUACCUCUAACAGGGGAAUAGCCCCGAGAAAUCGGGAUUAAUACCUCAUAACAUUUAUCAUUCGCAUGUUUGAUAAAUUAAAGCUCCGGCGGUUAGAGAUGGGCAUGCGUGACAUUAGCUAGUUGGUGAGGUAACGGCUCACCAAGGCUGCGAUGUCUAGGGGUUCUGAGAGGACAUUCCCCCACACUGGUACUGAGACACGGACCAGGACUCCUACGGGAGGCAG